CUUCUAUCAGGGGACUGGCGUCAGCGUUUGGGGCUUUUGCUCUGUUCGUUGGCCCAUUCCUCCCUGAUUCACCCAUGUCUUUUGCGCACUAUUUGUUUCCUUGGUGGGCUUGCCCACCAAUAGGACAAAUUAAAACCACUUGUAAUUGCAGUCAGCGUCAGUAAACAAUGUAAUUAUUACAACUUUCAACAACGGAUCUCUUGGUUCU
rnacentral:misc_RNA from 1 species